UAAAAAAUAAAUGUUGUACGUGUUUCUGCUGAAUUUAGAUUAAAUUCAAGAAUAUUUGAAUCAUAUCGCUAUUUGACAUCCAUGAGCAUAUUUAUAUUUAACGUAUAGAAGAAAUGUUUAAAUUAUUUAGUAUACAUUUAAUAAUGACGAAGCGGUUAUAACGGUUAGCUGCUAUUUCAAUAAUGGAUGUAGGCAACUAUCAUAGUAUGGAUAUCACCAUUCACCAAGACAGGUGUAAGAGCAUGUUAAUCUGCAAGUCAGGGUUCCCAUACUCCAUGUCAGUCCGAGUCCGGACAUAACCGACAAACUCAUUGAGGCACGGUGAGGCCAGGAAGCCUAUAAAUAGAGCAGUGUAUAUUUCAGAUAAUCUAUCUAUUGUUUCGGGUAAAUGAAGAGGAAUUCUUGAAAUAUUUUGAUGGCCACAAAAACGAAUUGGACGUACUUGAUCGUACACCAUCUCCCAUAGUGGAUUGCUGAAUAGCAAAACCUGAAACAUAUUAUAGACACUCAUAUUCUAGUUGAAAAGUGUGGCAAAUUGUAAUAUAUAUAUAUAUAUAUAUAUAUAUAUAUAUAUAUAUAUAUAUAUAUAUAUAUAUACUGUAUUUGUAAAAUUCACAUGGAUGGACAGCCUGAUGAACAAGUGCAGCAUCAGGUAAAUACAAAGAAGUCGGUGGGCAGUACAAAAUAAAAGAAGAAGAGCGGCCAGAAUGACUGGAAACUGUUGAACGCCCUUGCAUCUUAUAUUAUAGUUACUUUCGUGGAAUAUCAUUAAUAUCGUUAUGUCAGUGCUACUACU